rnacentral:rRNA from 1 species
GAUGAACGCUGGCGGCGUGCCUAAUACAUGCAAGUCGAGCGAACGGACGCGAAGCUUGCUUUUCUGAUGUUAGCGGCGGACGGGUGAGUAACACGUGGAUAACCUACCUAUAAGUCUGGGAUCACUUCGGGAAACCGGAGCUAACACCGGAUAAUAUUUUGAACCACAUGGUUCAAAAGUGAAAGACGGUCUUGCUGUCACGUAUAGAUGGAUCCGCGCUGCAUUAGCUAGUAGGUAAGGUAAAGGCUUACCAAGGCGAAGAGGCGUGGCCGACCGGGGGGGCGGAUCGGCGACACUGGAACUUAAACGCGGUCCAGGCGACUGAGGGAGGCAGCAGUAGGUAAUCUUCCGCAGAGGUGGAAAGCAUGGCGCAACAACGGCGCGUGAGUGAUGGAGGUCUUCGGAGCGUAAAACUCUGUUACUGGGGAUGAACAUAUGUGUAAGGAAAUGUACACAUCGUGACGGUACCUGAUCAGAAAGCCACGGCUAACUACGUG